AACGAACGCUGGCGGCAGGCUUAACACAUGCAAGUCGAGCGCCCCGCAAGGGGAGCGGCAGACGGGUGAGUAACGCGUGGGAACGUACCUUUUGGUUCGGAACAACUCCGGGAAACUGGAGCUAAUACCGGAUAAGCCCUAACGGGGAAAGAUUUAUCGCCGAAAGAUCGGCCCGCGUCUGAUUAGCUAGUUGGUGAGGUAACGGCUCACCAAGGCGACGAUCAGUAGCUGGUCUGAGAGGAUGAUCAGCCACACUGGGACUGAGACACGGCCCAGACUCCUACGGGAGGCAGCAGUGGGGAAUAUUGGACAAUGGGCGCAAGCCUGAUCCAGCCAUGCCGCGUGAGUGAUGAAGGCCUUAGGGUUGUAAAGCUCUUUUGUCCGGGAAGAUAAUGACUGUACCGGAAGAAUAAGCCCCGGCUAACUUCG
rnacentral:rRNA from 1 species